rnacentral:rRNA from 1 species
UGGGGAAUUUUGGACAAUGGGGGAAACCCUGAUCCAGCCAUCCCGCGUGUGCGAUGAAGGCCUUCGGGUUGUAAAGCACUUUUGGCAGGAAAGAAACGUCAUGGGUUAAUACCCCGUGAAACUGACGGUACCUGCAGAAUAAGCACCGGCUAACUACGUGCCAGCAGCCGCGGUAAUACGUAGGGUGCAAGCGUUAAUCGGAAUUACUGGGCGUAAAGCGUGCGCAGGCGGUUCGGAAAGAAAGAUGUGAAAUCCCAGAGCUCAACUUUGGAACUGCAUUUUUAACUACCGGGCUAGAGUGUGUCAGAGGGAGGUGGAAUUCCGCGUGUAGCAGUGAAAUGCGUAGAUAUGCGGAGGAACACCGAUGGCGAAGGCAGCCUCCUGGGAUAACACUGACGCUCAUGCACAAAAGCGUGGGGAGCAAACAGG